CGAAAGCCUGACGGAGCCAGACCGCGUGAGGGAAGAAAGUCUUUGGAUCGUAAACCUCUUUUCUCAAGGAAGAAUUCAUGACGGUACUUGAGGAAUCAGCAUCGGCUAACUCCGUGCCAGCAGCCGCGGUAAUACGGAGGAGGCAAGCGUUAUUCGGAAUUAUUGGGCGUAAAGCGUCCGCAGGGGGCUCAUCAAGUCUGCUGUCAAAGGUCGGAGCUCAACUCCGGUUCGGCAGUGGAAACUGGUGGGCUAGAGGGCGACAGGGGUAGAGGGAAUUCCCAGUGUAGCGGUGAAAUGCGUAGAGAUUGGGAAGAACACCGGUGGCGAAAGCGCUCUACUGGGUCGCACCUGACCCUCAGGGACGAAAGCUAAGGUAGCG
rnacentral:rRNA from 1 species